AGUAAGCUCUGGAUACAAGAGGCGCUGCUACGGGGCUGGGGAGAAACGGUUGGCUACCGAGCAAGCCAUGAUACUGGCAGUGUUUACUCACCAUUGGGAGUGCUUGAGCAAGAUGGCAUACAGAGGAAGAAGAUGGCAUAUUCAUGGAUGACUUGUGGCUCAAGAGUACACAUGACCUAGGACCCACAAGCGAGAUGUCCACUCUUGAAACCUCAAUCCAGAAGUGAACAACACUGGAGGCCCAAUGAAUCCUGAUCUGGCAACUGUGGUCUCCAGAACUAAGAAAGAAUGCACUGUAGAUGUUUUCAGGCACGGUGUUUGUGGCCAUUUGUUACACACUGAUAAUUAAUACCACCCCAAAGAAGUUGGCCCUGCACAGAAUCCAGUCAUUAAGGGAGCUGGAGGGCACCAGACUUUUCACAAACUGAUAAGAAGCUGGGAUUGCAGGACGGCCAUCUUCUAGUCACGAACUAGAGUGGGCGCCUCUUUUGUGCAACCCAAAGCUGUGGUCACGCGGUUCUGCUGGCAUCAUCUUGGACAUGUUGGGCCAUCCUCACAUGCAGCAGAUCCCAGGGCAGCAUUCUUUCUCCUGCCUGUGCUACCCAGGUGGAAAUCCUAAGUGGGAAAGGCCAAGCUCAUUAUCCUAGUGUUGGCAACCCUGCCAUUGAGUGCUAGAGGCCUAGGAAUGCUUGACAGGCCAGAGACUCACGGCCCAACCCACGAGACGUGAAAGACUAUUGUUUCGGUGACCUGUCUUGCUUAAAUUGCUGCUUUCCAAGACUGCUGGGGACUGUCACAAGUGGUCAUGACUGGAGCGCGUCUUCAGUUCCAGGUGUCAUGGUCUUCUCCAGCUGCUGAUGAGUUCUCAGGGUGAUUGUAAAGAGUCCAUACCAACCAGGCCGCUACAAGGAUGGUCCACCCAGCUGCUGAGAAGAGACUACCUGGAUGAUUGACAGGCUGCCUUAUGCUCUAGAAGAUCACUGAUGCUCACUUCGGAUCUAAUGUCAUUCCACAUCUCCGACAACUUCACACUGGCCCACGGUGCACGUCGCUCAACCUUUGCGAUGACCAGCCUGAACUCAAGUUCCGCUAGAAUUGCUUCUCUCGCUGUGCGACCUAGAACAAGCUCACUCUGUAUCUAGGCUGGGAGUGGCCACAACGUCUAAGCGUCGGGGGGAACGUCCUUAGCACACUGGCUGCAGAGUGUAGCUGUGAAUGCAACCUGUUAUCAUUUUGGCCCAAACCUUUAACACCUCCUGCCUUUCCCCUACUGUUGAACCUUCCUCUGACUUUCAAGCUGAUAAAGCUGAUGAAGAAUUGUUUCUAUUCUUAAAACAAGAUUUGUUUUAAUCUCUUCAAGGUGUUUCAAUCUGCUGACAACUCCUCCUUAAAUAUAGUAUCCAAAGGAGGACCCACAUGAUGAUCCACUUGGUUGUAAAAUGAAAAACUCACAACUCCUAUUGAAUGAAAGAUGUAGUUUUAUAUUCUUUCUCACUCAAAAGGAGAAACAAGGCUGCUGAGAUGGCUUAGUGCAUAUGGGUGCUUGCUGCCAAAGCUGGCAGCCUGAGUUCGAUCCCCAGGACCCACAAUGCAGACGGAAACCUUCUGAAUCCUACAAGUUGCCUUCUGACCUCCACAUGUGUA